UGGAGGUUAACAACAGUUUGA
rnacentral:piRNA from 1 species